GUGAACAGAAUGGCUCCGUACAGGCUGGCUUUGGUCGGGCUGGAGAGACAGUCAAAACACUCAUUAACAUACAGGAUUCACACGCUCCGUGACAAAUAAAGGAUGGUGCCCACGUGGCCCUGCCAGGACACUGCCCCUGUGACAGAGGCAUGUCAGGGAGAUGGCGCGUGGCAGGGGGGGGGCAGUUACCUUUGACGUAGCCGAUGAUCACCAUGAUGAAGAAGCCGUGGUGGUAGGCGUGCUGGGCAUGGUGAACGCCGGCGGCGAUUUUGCGUGUGCGGACAACUUCUUUCAAGGCGACCAACACCAGCUUGACGGGCAGGAAAGCCACGCAUUUGUAGAAGAGGUUCAGCGGGCAGUAAAAGAUGAGAGGGGGGGGAAAACCGUUCUGAGGCGUUUCUCACCAAACAGCGGAGGCCAGAAGGAUGUGGCUGUUGUGUUGGAAAUAGUCGAUGGGGCUGCUCCCGAGCAUGAUGUCUGCCAGGAUAUAGCUCCCAAAGCAGUAGAGCAUGGCACACAGCCAGGAGGCCACAGGACUCCUCCGA